rnacentral:rRNA from 1 species
AACGGCCGCGGGAUCCUACACCGUGCAAAGGUAGCAUAAUCACUUGUCACCUAAAUAGUGACUAGUAUGAAUGGCCAAAUGAGGACUUACCUGUCUCUUAUAACCAAUCUAUGAAACUGAUCUCUCAGUACAAAAGCUGAGAUAAACACACAAGACGAAAAGACCCUGUGGAACUUACAAGUGUCAACCAACAACAUGGAACAACCACUUUUAGUUGGGGCAACUUUGGAACAAAACAAAACUUCCAAUUUAGGCAAACAUAAAAAUUCAAAUAGGUAUACACACCAAAUCUGAACAGCCAUUAUCGACCCAGUAUUACUGAUAAAAGAAACAAGCUACCCCAGGGAUAACAGCGCCAUCCCCUCUUAGAGUCCCCAUCGACGAGCGGGGCUUACGACCUCGAUGUUGGAUCAGGGCCCCCAAACAGUGCAGCAGCUGUUAAAGGUUUGUUUGUUCAACAAUUAAUG